UUGAACGCUGGCGGCAGGCCUAACACAUGCAAGUCGAACGGUAACAGGAAGCAGCUUGCUGCUUCGCUGACGAGUGGCGGACGGGUGAGUAAUGUCUGGGAAACUGCCUGAUGGAGGGGGAUAACUACUGGAAACGGUAGCUAAUACCGCAUAACGUCGCAAGACCAAAGAGGGGGACCUUCGGGCCUCUUGCCAUCGGAUGUGCCCAGAUGGGAUUAGCUAGUAGGUGGGGUAACGGCUCACCUAGGCGACGAUCCCUAGCUGGUCUGAGAGGAUGACCAGCCACACUGGAACUGAGACACGGUCCAGACUCCUACGGGAGGCAGCAGUGGGGAAUAUUGCACAAUGGGCGCAAGCCUGAUGCAGCCAUGCCGCGUGUAUGAAGAAGGCCUUCGGGUUGUAAAGUACUUUCAGCGGGGAGGAAGGGAGUAAAGUUAAUACCUUUACUCAUUGACGUUACCCGCAGAAGAAGCACCGGCUAACUCCGUGCCAGCAGCCGCGGUAAUACGGAGGGUGCAAGCGUUAAUCGGAAUUACUGGGCGUAAAGCGCACGCAGGCGGUUUGUUAAGUCAGAUGUGAAAUCCCCGGGCUCAACCUGGGAACUGCAUCUGAUACUGGCAAGCUUGAGUCUCGUAGAGGGGGGUAGAAUUCCAGGUGUAGCGGUGAAAUGCGUAGAGAUCUGGAGGAAUACCGGUGGCGAAGGCGGCCCCCUGGACGAAGACUGACGCUCAGGUGCGAAAGCGUGGGGAGCAAACAGGAUUAGAUACCCUGGUAGUCCACGCCGUAAACGAUGUCGACUUGGAGGUUGUGCCCUUGAGGCGUGGCUUCCGGAGCUAACGCGUUAAGUCGACCGCCUGGGGAGUACGGCCGCAAGGUUAAAACUCAAAUGAAUUGACGGGGGCCCGCACAAGCGGUGGAGCAUGUGGUUUAAUUCGAUGCAACGCGAAGAACCUUACCUGGUCUUGACAUCCACGGAAGUUUUCAGAGAUGAGAAUGUGCCUUCGGGAACCGUGAGACAGGUGCUGCAUGGCUGUCGUCAGCUCGUGUUGUGAAAUGUUGGGUUAAGUCCCGCAACGAGCGCAACCCUUGUCAUUAGUUACUAACAUUAAGUUGAGGACUCUAAUGAGACUGCCGGGGACAACUCGGAGGAAGGUGGGGAUGACGUCAAAUCAUCAUGCCCUUUAUGUCCUGGGCUACACACGUACUACAAUGGGUGUAACAGAGGGAAGCAACACAGCGAUGUGAAGCGAAACCCAAAAAGCACCCCCAGUUCGGAUUGAAGGCUGAAAUUCGCCUUCAUGAAGCCGGAAUUGCUAGUAAUGGCAGGUCAGCAUACUGCCGUGAAUACGUUCCCGGGCCUUGUACACACCGCCCGUCACACCAUGGGAGUGGGUUGCAAAAGAAGUAGGUAGCUUAACCUUCGGGAGGGCGCUUACCACUUUGUGAUUCAUGACUGGGGUG
rnacentral:rRNA from 1 species